rnacentral:misc_RNA from 1 species
AAAAAAUCUGUUCAGCUAAAAAAAGGUAAUGAUGCUUGCCACCGCGUGGCUUUACAGUUUCUGGCUACAUGGCUCAGAGUCGAAUGGAAAGAAAUGGUUUGUUUAGUCGUGCUAUACAUAGCAUUUGUAAGCUCCUUAUAAUAUAUUUUCUGUGGACAGCCUUGCCCCUUUAGUAAGAAUACUAUCCUUAUUUGCUUUUGUGUUGUGGUGCUUCGAUGCUGACCUGCACAAGCUGUGAACUGAAUCCUAUCUGUCUUCCAUGGACUAUUCUUCUCUCUUAGGAAGCCG